GAAGAAGAAUGUAAACAGAGAUGGUAGAAGAACCAUCUGAGGGAAUAGCGCCAUCUAUCUGCACCAUGAGUAGUGUACACAUUAAAAAGCUGAACUAUUAUCCAUCUGACUGUUAUUUGAAAUGAACGAGUCCAGUAAUGGGUCAAGAAAGGAGCCGUAUUAGUUAUUAUUAGUUAUUCCAUGUAAACUGGGACAAGGACACUUUCAGAAAGUCAAACUUUGGGCAUAGCUCCAUUAAACUGUGCAAGUAAACACACUGACUCAGUAUGUGUCAGCAGGUUGUUGGUUCCAACCUUGGACAGUCCUCAGGUCCUACAGACGUAACGUCUCUGUCCCCUCAGAAGGCUGCUACUGUCUCUAAUGGACGUCAGUUUUUCCCACUAACCUUGGAUACUCUGUUUGAUCUAUGGAGGGAACACAAACAAGACCAGGUCAGACAACAGUAAGUUGUUGCUUCACAUCUCCCUCUGCUGGUCACAUGGAGACACUGCAGGGAUGGUGUCAGGUCAGACUGUUCUACACAUUAGUUCAUUGAAAACACUCAGUGAGGCCUCAUUGUUCACAGACACUGAAGCAGUAAAGUGACCUUAGAGAAAAGAUCAACAGAAUGUCUGAGUUCAGCUGUAAUCAUGUUCAAACUAUGCUCAUACACACAUUUGAUAGAUCAUUACAUCAUGGACUUUUCAUGUUUAGCUCCUUUUAUUCCUUCAUUAGUUUUAGAGUUUUAUAGGAGACGUAAAGACUCUGUGGUGUUUGGACAGUUUCAUCUCUUGUAUUUUUACGUAGAUUUACUUCAAGUUAUUUAUCUGUGACUGAGUUUGAAGCAAAAAGAGGAAGAAGCCAGUCAGAGGAAGAGGGCGGGCUUUACAUGGUGUCACUGAGAAAAGAUGAAAAAAGGUCAGACGAGUGAGAAGGACAAUGAAGGAAACGUCUCUACAGCGUCUGCUCUCACCACGGUCCUGGUUUUACUGCAACUGAAAUAAACAUUUAGCAGAUGAAGACUUUCAGAACAGCAGCAGUCGACACCUCCUCCUGGUUCCUCUCCUCUCCUCCCUGUGUUCUUGUCUCUUUCUUUCUUUUCUCUGGUUCUCCUGGUGUUUCUGGUUUUCCAGGUGAGACGAUGUGUUUGUAGGAAACAUGAAGCCGUUGGAGGAAACGUCAGAGAAGACAUCACGUACGGUAAAAUUAAAAUAUCACAGAACAAGAAAGACGAUCAGACGGAGAAGAGAGUUUUCUCCAGAGUCAACAGUCGUCUACUCUUUAGUCCACCGGUCCAACCACUGAUGUCCAGCUGCAGGACUGGUCUACUCAGCCCCUCAGGCCACAGUACAUCUCUGAAAAACAUGUUUAUUUGUCAUAAAUAUGUUUCUGUUUAAAGGUUUCUAAUGAUAACAUCCAGUUCCUUUAUGUCUCCAGUAACAUAUUAACUCAAUAACUUGUAUUUUAUUUGUUUUUGCUCUUGUCACUACAGCAAUGGUCUGGCUUUCUCUGCAGGAUCAAUAACGUUCCUACUUCUGUUGGCUAGGCUAGUUAGCUGGUGUCUCCUUGUUGGUGUUGUUCAGUUGGACUGGGUCUCUAAAUAUGUUUUUCUCGUGUUUUGCAGAGGGGAGAAGUGUUGGUUGGCAUGUAGCCGCUUAUCCCAUCACAUCUAACCUACUGCUGUUGGCUAGUUGGUGGCUUCUUGUUGGUUGCUGGGUGGUAGCUGACUGCUAGCCUGCUGGUCAGUUUUUCAGUUCGACUGAGCUUCUAAAUGUGUUUUGACUCAGAUCUUAGCUCAAGGGAUUGUAACAUCUCAUCCUGUGUAAUAAUGAUUAUGAGGUGUUUGUAAUGAAGCACAUCUGCCAAUCACGGAUAUUUUGAAGGACAAUUAAGCACAAUAGUGAUUUCUACUGUUUUCAUAUUUGCACUAAUUCAGCCAGGAGCUACCAUCCAAAAUUUCGUUAUGUUCACACAUAAUGACAAUAAAUGAUUCUU